GAUGAACGCUAGCGGCAGGCCUAACACAUGCAAGUCGAACGGUAACUAUUAGUGCUUGCACAAAUAAAGUUAGUGGCAAACGGGUGAGUAAUACAUGAGAAUUUUCCUUGCAGUACGGAAUAACUAUUGGAAACAGUAGCUAAUACCGUAUAUUGCCGAGAGGUGAAAGAUUUAUCGCUGCAAGAUAAGCCCAUGCAAGAUUAGCUUGUUGGUAAGGUAAUGGCUUACCAAGGCUACGAUCUUUAGCUGGUUUGAGAGGAUGAUCAGCCACACUGGAACUUAGACACGGUCCAGACUCCUACGGGAGGCAGCAGUGAGGAAUAUUGGACAAUAGGCGAAAGCCUGAUCCAGCGACGUCACGUGAAUGAUGAAGGCCUUAGGGUUGUAAAAUUCUUUUAGUGGAGAAGAUAAUGACGGUAUCCACAGAAAAAGUCCCGGCUAACUUCGUGCCAGCAGCCGCCGCAGUAACAC
rnacentral:rRNA from 1 species